GACGAACGCUGGCGGCGUGCUUAACACAUGCAAGUCGAACGGAAAGGCCCUGCUUUUGUUGCGUGCUCGAUUGGCGAACGCGUGUGUAACACGUGAGUAACCUGCCCUUGUCUUUCUGAUAUCUUCAGGAAACUGGGGCUCAUAUCGGAUAGGAUCUCCUGCUGCAUGGUGUGCGUUGGAAAGUUUCGGCGGUUCGGUCUCGACUCGCUGCUUAUCGGCUUGUUUGUGUGGUAGUGGCUUACCAAGGCUUUGACGGGUAGCCGGCCUGGGAGGGGUACCGGGGACAUUGGGACUGAGAUACGGCGCAGACUGCAACGGGAGGCAGAAGUGGGGAAUAUGGCACAAUGGGGGGAAGCCAGAUGCAGAAACGCCGCGUGCGGGAUGACGGGUUACGGGUGGUAAACAGAUUUGGAAGGUGACGAAGAGUGAGUGACGGUAAUGGGUAAAGAAGCAACGGCUAACUACGUG
rnacentral:rRNA from 1 species